rnacentral:rRNA from 1 species
UACGGAGGGUGCAAGCGUUGUCCGGAUUUAUUGGGUUUAAAGGGUGCGUAGGCGGCCCUGUAAGUCAGUGGUGAAAUACUGCAGCUUAACUGUAGCAUUGCCAUUGAUACUGUAGGGCUUGAGUACAGAUGAGGUAGGCGGAAUUGAUGGUGUAGCGGUGAAAUGCGCAGAUAUCAGGAGGAACACCAAUGGCGAAGGCAGCACUCUGGGACGUGACUGACGCUGAGACGCGAAAGCGUGGGGAGCAAACAGG